AACGAACGCUGGCGGCGCGCCUAAUACAUGCAAGUCGAGCGAGAAGACGUAGCAAUACGUUUGUAAAGCGGCGAACGGGUGAGGAAUACAUGGGUAACCUACCCUCGAGUGGGGAAUAACUAGCCGAAAGGUUAGCUAAUACCGCGUACGCUCCUUGGACUUCGGUUCAGGGAGGAAAGCGAUACCGUGGGUAUCGCGCUCUUGGAUGGGCUCAUGUCCUAUCAGCUUGUUGGUGAGGAACGGCUCACCAAGGCUUCGACGGGUAGCUGGUCUGAGAGGACGAUCAGCCACACUGGCACUGCGACACGGGCCAGACUCCUACGGGAGGCAGCAGUAAGGAAUAUUGCGCAAUGGGCGAAAGCCUGACGCAGCGACGCCGCGUGGGGGAUGAAGGUCUUCGGAUUGUAAACCCCUUUCGGGAGGGAAGAUGGAACGAGCAAUCGUUCGGACGGUACCUCCAGAAGCAGCCACGGCUAACUUCGUGCCAGCAGCCGCCGCCGUAAC
rnacentral:rRNA from 1 species